rnacentral:rRNA from 1 species
AGACCUUCGGGUCUAGUGGCGCACGGGUGCGUAACGCGUGGGAAUCUGCCCUUGGGUCUGGAAUAACAGUUAGAAAUGACUGCUAAUACCGAAUGAUGACUUCGGUCCAAAGAUUUAUCGCCCAGGGAUGAGCCCGCGUCGGAUUAGCUUGUUGGUGAGGUAAAAGCUCACCAAGGCGACGAUCCGUAGCUGGUCUGAGAGGAUGAUCAGCCACACUGGGACUGAGACACGGCCCAGACUCCUACGGGAGGCAGCAGUGGGGAAUAUUGGACAAUGGGCGAAAGCCUGAUCCAGCAAUGCCGCGUGAGUGAUGAAGGCCUUAGGGUUGUAAAGCUCUUUUACCCGGGAAGAUAAUGACUGUACCGGGAGAAUAAGCCCCGGCUAACUCCGUGCCAGCAGCCGCGGUAAUACGGAGGGGGCUAGCGUUGUUCGGAAUUACUGGGCGUAAAGCGCACGUAGGCGGCUUUGUAAGUUAGAGGUGAAAGCCCGGGGCUCAACUCCGGAAUUGCCUUUAAGACUGCAUCGCUAGAAUUGUGGAGAGGUAAGUGGAAUUCCGAGUGUAGAGGUGAAAUUCGUAGAUACUCGGAAGAACACCAGUGGCGAAGGCGACUUACUGGACACAUAUUGACGCUGAGGUGCGAAAGCGUGGGG